UACAGAGGUCUCAAGCGUUGUUCGGAUUCAUUGGGCGUAAAGGGUGUGUAGGUGGCGCCGUAAGUCGGGUGUGAAAUUUCGGAGCUUAACUCCGAAACUGCAUUCGAUACUGCGGUGCUUGAGGACUGGAGAGGAGACUGGAAUUCAUGGUGUAGCAGUGAAAUGCGUAGAGAUCAUGAGGAAGACCAGUGGCGAAGGCGGGUCUCUGGACAGUUCCUGACGCUCAGGCACGAAAGCCAGGGGAGCAAACGGG
rnacentral:rRNA from 1 species